GAUGAAGAACGUAGUGAAAUGCGAUACGUAAUGUGAAUUGCAGAAUUCAGUGAAUCAUCGAAUCUUUGAACGCAUAUUGCGCUCUUUGGUAUUCCGAAGAGCAUGCUUGUUUGAGUAUCAGUAAACACCUCAAAGCUUUUGGAUUUUUUAAUCGAAAAGCUUUGGACUUGAGCAAUCCCAACACCAAUCUUUUUGAGAUCGGUGGCGGGUUGCUUGAAAUGCAGGUGCAGCUGGACAUUCUCCUGAGCUAAAAGCAUAUUCAUUUAGUCCCGUCAAACGGAUUAUUACUUUUGCUGCAGCUAACAUAAAGGGAGUUUGACCGUAUUGGCUGACUGAUGCAGGAUUUCACAAGGGUCGGCAACGAUUCUUGUUAAACUCGAUCUCAAAUCAAGUAAGACUACCAGCUGAACUUAAGCAUAUCAAUAAGCGGAGGA
rnacentral:misc_RNA from 1 species